rnacentral:lncRNA from 1 species
GUCGUUCCUCCGCGUUACAGAGCUACAGCGGUCUCCGGGUGGCGAAGUGCGGAGACGGGGUUUUGGAGACGGUGGAUGGAGGAGGGGGAGGGAAAGCUGCCAACUUUGGAUACCAACCCCGUACACCCACCGAAGGGGAUGUCCCACUUUUUCCAGCGCUGGGAGCAAAAAGAUAACAGUGAGCGAGGUUGAAAAAAACAGGGUCUUGCUUCGUUGCCCAGCCUGGUCUCAAACUCUUGGCUUCAAGCAAUCCUCCUGCCUCAGCCUCCCAAAGUGCUGUGAUUAUAGGCCACCUGACAGUGAAAAGAGCAAUUUGAAGAAAAACAAAAUUUAUCUUCAAUGUGAAAAGCAAUUUAUAAAAAUCCGAAUACUUGCCAGGAGCAACUUGACAAAAAAGACAAAGGUGGUAGAAGAAAUGUAACCAGCCCACAAUUCCAAUGUUGAUAACAGAUGAGCUCCCUUUCAAGGUGACUGACAUUUACACAAGUACACAGAGCAAGAAGAAGGUCUGAGUGAACUGCCAAGCAUUUUAACUUCUCCUGAGACCAAGUACAUCAACAGUUCUCUUGGAAAAGAACAACUGAUUUGGGAGUCUAGCAGACUGCCAGCUGCAAGACAUUCAUCCAGCAUCAGGAACACAAUGGGCCUUCAUUUGCCUGCCUUUCUGAGGGCACCAAUCAAAAGUAACAGCUGCCACCUUUUUCUAUGAGACUUGAUUAUAAUUUUCUAUGGCCAAGGGUUUGCUGUGACACUUCCACAUCAUUCUUCAGUAUGUAGUCCAGAGAUUAGCUACAGAUUCAAGAAACACAGACUGUAAACUAUUAUAUACAGACAUAUCUCAAAAUAAGCAUACCCAUUAGUGCCAGCUGCCCUGAAAGACUGAAUGACCCCAGCUAUUUUCCAAAUGUUUUUUCAGAAAGCCAUGAACACACCUUUCUGGGAUCCUAUCUAUUUCAAAGACAGGCAAAGCUCUGUGGUUCAGUUCCACCACCCAGUACCAAGCCCACAGUAUGCAGACCAUACGCCUUACACAUGGCCUUUUCUCUUUAUGUAAUUGCUGUACCAUAUUCAGCAGAUCUAGACUGACUCAAAGCAUGUUCCCUCAAGAAGCUCCACAGAAAAAAAGGUUUCUGUGAUCAAAAAUCAUUUGGGAAAUGCUGCAAACCCUAUCUGCCUCUUAGAGCUUAACCAUGCAUGUCGGGGCAUAAUAUAAACCUUUUCCAGUCUGGGCCACAGAGUGAGACCCCACCUCUAAAAUAAUAAAUCAAUAAACUCUUGAGAAGUACACAGAAAAGAAACUUCUGUAACUUUUUAGGUCUUAAUUACAAGCAAUUGUAGCUUAAUCUAAACUUGCUCUUCACUUUAUUUCUAUGCUCUUGAAAACUAGUGACAUAAGCCUUAUGAAUUUUUUGUUUGUUUGUUUCUUCUUUUUUUAAGAGAGAGACAGGGUCUCAUUCUGUUGCUCAGGUUGGAGUGCAGAGGCACAAUCAUAGCUCACCGUAACCUUGAAUUCCUAGUCUCAAGUAAUCCUCCCAUCUCAGCCUCCCUAAUAACUAGGACUACAGGCACAUACCACCACAUCUGGCUAGUGUGUGUGUGUGUGUGUGUGUGUGUGUGUGUGUAAAGACAGGGGUCUCAUUAUGUUCCCCAGGCUGGUCUUGAACUCCUGGGCUUAAGCGAUCCUCCCACCGCAGCCUCCCAAAACUUUGGGAUUACAGGCAUGAGCCACUACACCUGGCUGGAUUAUUCUUUCUUUAAAAAAAUUUUUUUGGCCGGGCGCCGUGACUGUAAUCCCGGCACUUUGAGGGGCCGAGGCGGGCGAAUCACGAGGUCAGGAGAUAGAGACCAUCCUGGCUAACACGGUGAAACCCCGUCUCUACUAAAAAAAAAUACAAAAAAUUAGCCGGGCGAGGUGGCGGGCGCCUGUAGUCCCAGCUACUCGGGAGGCUGAGGCAGGAGAAUGGCGUGAACCCGGGGGGCGGAGCCUGCAGUGAGCCGAGAUCGCGCCCUGGGCGACAGCGAGACUCCGUCUCAAAAAAAAAUAAAUAAAUAAAAACAAAAAUUUUAAGCAUAAAUACAAAGGUUAGGUAGAUUUAAAGAUGGCCGGUAGCAUGAAGUGAGCUGUCUAAAAAGUUGCUUUUACAUAAGAACUUUAUGUUACUUGAUGAGCAAGUAUUAAUUGGGCUCUCUGUCUCUUCUUCUCUCUCCCUCUUUCUCUCUCUCUCUCUCUCUGGAUCCACUUUCCCUCCUGCAUCAGGGAGUCUACUCCUAUGUAAAUCUUCUGCAGGUUGUGCAGUGGACUUCACCUAGUCUCCCAUCUCCAGCUAAUUUGGCCAAGAAUAGUCACCUGGCGCAAGGUGGGGAGGGAGCUCUCAAUUGGCCAGCAACUUCUGACGUGUGACCUGACUGAACAAUGAGAGGCUCGAGUGAAAUUACCAGCUGGUAGUAGGACAGAGGAUAUAGAUACAUGGAAUGGAGCUGAGCCAAAUUAAUGACAAAGGACUAGACAAGAAUGACUGUUGAUGAUCACCUAUGCUGAGAUCACAAAGCUGCCCCGAGUCCAGAAGCAGGUUCACUGAGGGAGGCUCAACCAUGUUACCAAUCUUGUUUGAGAUUAAUGUUCCUUGUUGUAAACCUCAAGUCUGUUUCUUGCAAUCAAACCAUUCUAAAUUGAAACAACUACUUAGAAAGUGUUUCUAUGGGUUCAGUGGGACAUUUCAACCAAAUGAAAUAUGAUAAUGAUCUUAAAUGAACUAACAAUAGUGUUGCAGAAAUAAAAUACAAAUACCAGAAAGAUA